GCCGGGAUAGCUCAGCUGGGAGAGCAACAGACUGAAGCAUCUUCUGGAUGUAUUCUGGAGGUCCCGUGUUCAAUCCACGGUCCUGGCA
rnacentral:tRNA from 1 species